CAUAGCUAAAAACACACUAGAACCAAGCUAAAAUCGUCCUCAAAUGCACGAGUUUGAGCUGAUUUUGCAAAUCUGGGUUUGAACCCAAGUCAAGCAAACAGGUUACAUGCCCAUAUUCAAGCCCCAACACUCAUCACAUACGAGAUCUAAGGGAAAUGCUACUUAAUCCACGUGAAAGUAGGUAACAUGGGCUUUCAAAUGCAACAAACAUCAUAGAGAAUGACUCACCGAAAAACAUCAAAACGACCUCUCCAAGAAGCACACAUGCAAAAC
rnacentral:lncRNA from 1 species